rnacentral:rRNA from 1 species
UACGAGUGCUUCAAGCGUUAUCCGGAAUCAUUGGGCGUAAAGGGUGUGUAGGCGGUUAUGUUAGUCUCCCGUAAAAUCUUUCGGCUCAACCGAGAGUCCGCGGGGGAAACGGCAUAACUAAGAGGACGGGAGAGGUCUCUGGAACUCAUGGUGUAGCGGUGAAAUGCGUUGAUAUCAUGGGGAACACCAAAAGCGAAGGCAAGAGACUGGCCCGCUCCUGACGCUGAAACACGAAAGCGUGGGUCGCGAAUGGG